AUUGAACGCUGGCGGCAUGCUUUACACAUGCAAGUCGAACAGCAGCGCGGGCUUCGGCCUGGCGGCGAGUGGCGAACGGGUGAGUAAUACAUCGGAACGUGCCCAGUAGUGGGGGAUAGCUCGGCGAAAGCCGGAUUAAUACCGCAUACGACCUGAGGGUGAAAGCGGGGGAUCUUCGGACCUCGCGCUAUUGGAGCGGCCGAUGGCAGAUUAGCUAGUUGGUGGGGUAAAGGCCUACCAAGGCGACGAUCUGUAGCUGGUCUGAGAGGACGACCAGCCACACUGGGACUGAGACACGGCCCAGACUCCUACGGGAGGCAGCAGUGGGGAAUUUUGGACAAUGGGCGAAAGCCUGAUCCAGCAAUGCCGCGUGUGUGAUGAAGGCCUUCGGGUUGUAAAGCACUCUUGGCGGGAACGAAAAGGACUGUGCCAAUACCACGGUUCGAUGACGGUACCCGCAGAAUAAGCACCGGCUAACUACGUG
rnacentral:rRNA from 1 species